UCUCACUUCGGCUUUGCCUCCUGGCGCAUUUAAGCAAGGCCGCAUUUACCACUUUGAGACCGGGAAGGUUCCAAAUGGAGAGGGGCUCCUGGUUGCAGAACAAGGUGAUUCAAGAUGCUGAAGUUAAAAAAGGGAAAAAGGAAAGAGGGAAAAACAUGAAGCAGUGGAAAAAGCACAGGACUAGGAAUUCUUGCUGGGAACUACAAAAGGAUGGACUCCAGCAAGAGAAAAAGUGAAUCUAAGGAAUGGAGUGGGGUAUAAGCAGUAACGGUGGGGAGGAGGAAGAGGAACAGAAGAGGAGCUGGUGGCCGGGUCGCUGAGCAGCUCCUAGACCCUCAAGCAAGCCUCCUCUCCUCGGCAGGAAAAGCUCGCGGACCUACCAGCUGGGGUGGCCAGAGGGCCAGAGCGCCGCAGCCCAGGACCCAGCGGCCGGGGGCGCCAGCCCC